AGGAGUAUGGCGGAAGUGGUAGACGCUGCGGACUUAAAAUCCGUUGGUUGAAAAGCCGUGAGGGUUCAAGUCCCUUUACUCCUA
rnacentral:tRNA from 1 species